rnacentral:rRNA from 1 species
UACGAAGGGGGGCUAGCGUUGUUCGGAAUUACUGGGCGUAAAGGGCGCGUAGGCGGCCAUUCAAGUUAGGUGUGAAAGCCCUGGGCUCAACCUAGGAAUUGCACUUGAUACUGUUUUGGCUUGAGUUCGGGGAGAGGUGAGUGGAAUUCCCCAGUGUAGAGGUGAAAUUCGUAGAUAUUGGGAAGAACACCAGUGGCGAAGGGCGGCUCACUGGCCCGGUACUGACGCUCAGGUGCGAAAAGCGUGGGGGAGCGAACGGGGAU